rnacentral:rRNA from 1 species
GACGAACGCUGGCGGCGUGCUUAACACAUGCAAGUCGAACGGAAAGGCCCUGCUUUUGUGGGGUGCUCGAGUGGCGAACGGGUGAGUAACACGUGAGUAACCUGCCCUUGACUUUGGGAUAACUUCAGGAAACUGGGGCUAAUACCGGAUAGGCGCUCCUGCUGCAUGGUGGGGGUUGGAAAGUUUCGGCGGUUGGGGUUGGACUCGCGGCUUAUCAGCUUGUUGGUGGGGUAGUGGCUUACCAAGGCUUUGACGGGUAGCCGGCCUGAGAGGGUGACCGGCCACAUUGGGACUGAGAUACGGCCCAGACUCCUACGGGAGGCAGCAGUGGGGAAUAUUGCACAAUGGGCGGAAGCCUGAUGCAGCAACGCCGCGUGCGGGAUGACGGCCUUCGGGUUGUAAACCGCUUUCGCCUGUGACGAAGCGUGAGUGACGGUAGUGGGUAAAGAAGCACCGGCUAACUACGUG